rnacentral:lncRNA from 1 species
UCAAUUUAAGCAGAUGAAUUUCUUUGGAUGGAAAGUUCAGUCUAUGUCAGGGGACUGACAUACAGAGUUUGGAGGAGAGAAGACUUCAGGAAGACAGCCUUCAAGCAGGACAGAUAAAGCACCUGCAGACUUUGACUGGUCACUGAAACAGCCAUGAAAACCCUCAUGCUUUUAUAAAGCAGGACAAGGCUUUGAAGCUUCAGCUUUAAAUCGCCCCAGCAUCUCCCAGCUGUAAUGAGGACAGCAUUUCCCUAGUCAAAACAUUCUGGUUCUAUUUAUAGGCAUUCACUUAUCUGAAUAAUAAACAGAAAUAGCAGGCUAUUCUUAUAUAAUUU